rnacentral:rRNA from 1 species
AAGAGACAGCAGCCGCCGCGGUAAUACAGAGGGUGCAAGCGUUAAUCGGAAUUACUGGGCGUAAAGCGCGCGUAGGUGGUUUGUUAAGUUGGAUGUGAAAGCCCCGGGCUCAACCUGGGAACUGCAUCCAAAACUGGCAAGCUAGAGUAUGGUAGAGGGUGGUGGAAUUUCCUGUGUAGCGGUGAAAUGCGUAGAUAUAGGAAGGAACACCAGUGGCGAAGGCGACCACCUGGACUGAUACUGACACUGAGGUGCGAAAGCGUGGGGAGCAAACAGGAUUAGAUACCCCCGUAGUCCCUGUCUCUUAUAC